rnacentral:tRNA from 1 species
GCGCCCGUAGCUCAGCGGAUAGAGCGCCUGACUACGAAUCAGUAGGCCGGAGGUUCAAAUCCUCUCGGGCGCU